rnacentral:lncRNA from 1 species
UGAAAUCUAUUUUUCAAAAUUUAAAAUUUAAAAGUUAAAAUUUAAAAAUUCAAAAAUGAAUCUGAAAAUUAAAAAUUAAAAUUAAAAUUAAAUUUAAAUAUUGAAUUUAAAAGUAAAAUAAAAAUUUGAAGUUUUAGUCCAAAAUUAGAAUAAGAUUUCAAGAACCAGUUUUUUUCUGCUUCUGAUUCUGGUGCCUUCAAAAUCAGUUUUUUGAUUCUAAAAAGCAGAAUCAGAUUUUAAAAGUAAGGUUGUCAAACGUUCUAUUGAGCGGAAAUUUAUUUUUCAACCCAAAAGCGCUUUUUAAAAGUUAGGCCAAACACCCCCAAAUUCAAGUCCAAGAGGAGUACUUAUCAUGCGCUAUACCAAUGCGAGACCAUAGUUAGUUAAUUCGGAUUCGGCAAAAAUUCGGUACGGAUAUAAUACGCAUAAAGUUUAUUUUCCAACUUUUAAAUUCGUUGAAAAAUUCGGCUUAAAAAACGGAUUCAGUAUAAAAUAUAAAAUAUAAGAUAAUUUAUAUUUAAAAAUAAAAAUUAUAAGUUUUUUAUUUAUAUUUUUUUUAAUAAUUCGCGAAUAAUUCGGCUGGCCCAAAAAUUUGCGAAUAAUUUUUUUUUUUUGAAAAAAAUUUGUAAACGGACUGUUUAAUUUGAAUUUUUAAUAAUUUGUGAAUAAUUUGGAAGUAAUUUGCGAAUUAACUAACUAGGUGUGAGA